rnacentral:rRNA from 1 species
CAGCCGCCGCGGUAAUACGUAGGGGGCGAGCGUUACCCGGAUUCACUGGGCGUAAAGGGGGUGUAGGCGGCUCGGUAAGUCGGGUGUGAAAUCCCACGGCUCAACCGUGGAAUUGCGCCCGAAACUGCCGAGCUUGGGGCCGGUAGAGGGAGACGGAACUGCCGGUGUAGGGGUGGAAUCCGUAGAUAUCGGCAGGAACGCCGGUGGGGAAGCCGGUCUCCUGGGCCGCGCCCGACGCUGAGGCCCGAAAGCUAGGGGAGCAAACCGGAUUAGAUACCCGGGUAGUCCUAGCCGUAAACGAUGCCCACUAGGUGUGGGGGAGUAUUUCCUCCGUGCUGUAGCUAACGCGUUAAGUGGGCCGCCUGGGGAGUACGCCCGCAAGGGUGAAACUUAAAGGAAUUGGCGGG